rnacentral:lncRNA from 1 species
UUUCACAACACUUUUGCAGACCCCAACACUCAUAUAGUAGUGAUAAAUGAAAGUCAUGUUGCAACAAACAUGAUCCCCCAAACUACAAAUCUAUUUGAAAGCAUAAGAUUGUUUUCAUAAAGACUUCUAAGCAGAAGACUUUUCUUCUACUACCAUGAAUGACAAUAACUCCUGGAGUGAAAAAUACAACUUAGUUUUUCAAACUUUACAGAAAUUUUUCUUUCAAUGCUUUAUUCAUAUUCAGAGAAACCUUUUGGCACAAGGCAAAUUUUCACUGACAAGACACACUGAAAAUGAUUGGCUUUGGAACUACCUACAAUCUUAGUUUACUUAAAUAUUUAAGAGGGAUUUUACUGCAUUAUAAAUUUAUUGUGCAAAAACUGUAAAAAUCUGCUUCUUGAAAUAAUAUCAUUAUUUAAACACAA